rnacentral:miRNA from 1 species
GUCCCAUGGUGUCCCAUGGGAC